rnacentral:rRNA from 1 species
ACGCUCGACACCUACUGGAGGCAGCAGUGGGGAAUAUUGCACAAUGGGGGAAACCCUGAUGCAGCGACGCCGCGUGGAGGAAGAAGGUCUUCGGAUUGUAAACUCCUGUUGUUGGGGAAAAAGAGGAUGGUACCCAACAAGGAAGUGACGGCUAACUACGUGCCAGUAGCCGCGGUAAUCUGAGCGGGCGUGGCGAAGC